GAUGAACGCUAGCGAUUGGCUUAACACAUGCAAGUCGAGGGGCAGCACAAGGUAGCUUGCUCUCUGGGUGGCGACCGGCGCACGGGUGCGUAACGCGUAUGCAACUUGCCCUAUACAGGAGGAUAACCCGUCGAAAGACGGACUAAUACUGCGUAUGCUCACAACUUGGCAUCAAGUGGUGAGGAAAGAAAUUCGGUAUAGGAUAGGCAUGCGUCCCAUUAGCUUGUUGGUGAGGUAACGGCUCACCAAGGCAACGAUGGGUAGGGGAACUGAGAGGUUUAUCCCCCACACUGGUACUGAGACACGGACCAGACUCCUACGGGAGGCAGCAGUGAGGAAUAUUGGUCAAUGGGCGCGAGCCUGAACCAGCCAAGUCGCGUGAAGGAUGACUGUCUUAUGGAUUGUAAACUUCUUUUAUACGGGAAUAACAAGAGUCACGUGUGACUCCCUGCAUGUACCGUAUGAAUAAGCAGCGGCUAACUCCGUG
rnacentral:rRNA from 1 species